UCAAAACAGCGGCCUUCGGGCCUCGCUGCACCCUUGUCUUUUGCGCACCGUAUUGUUUCCUCGGCGGGCUUGCCCUGCCGGUUGGACAUCAUAAAACCUUUUUGUAGUUGCAAUCAGCGUCAGAAAAACAAUAAUUAUUA
rnacentral:misc_RNA from 1 species